rnacentral:tRNA from 1 species
CUGACCUUAGCUCAGUUGGUAGAGCGGAGGACUAUAGAUCCUUAGGUCGCUGGUUCGAAUCCGGCAGGUCGGA